rnacentral:rRNA from 1 species
GAUAGGGAUAUGCAUCCAAGUAUGUUUCCGAGAAAAACUUCUAAGCUUCAGGUGAGUAUUACCCGUACCGCAAACCGACACAGGUAGUCAAGUAGAAUAUACUAAGGCGCUCGAGUGAUCCGUGGCUAAGGAACUAGGCAAAUUAACCCCGUAACUUCGGGAGAAGGGGUGCCUCCAGCAAUGGAGGCCGCAGAGAAAUGGCGGUGGCGACUGUUUAACAAAAACACAGGGCUUUGCAAAAACGAAAGUUGAAGUAUAAGGCCUGACACCUGCCCGGUGCUGGAAGGUUAAGAGGAGAGGUCAUCGCAAGAGAAGCUUUGAAUCGAAGCCCCAGUAAACGGCGGCCGUAACGAUAACGGUCCUAAGGUAGCGAAAUUCCUUGUCGGGUAAGUUCCGACCUGCACGAAUGGUGUAACGAUCUCCGCUCUGUCUCAGCCACGAGCUCGGUGAAAUUGUGGUAUCAGUGAAGACGCUGAUUACCCGCAACGGGACGGAAAGACCCCAUGCACCUUUACUAUAGCUUAACAUUGAUUUCGGGUAAGUGAUGUGUAGAAUAGGUAGGAGGCUUUGAAGCAGUGGCGCUAGCCAUUGUGGAGCCGAAAUGUGAAAUACUACCCUUUACUUACUAGAAGUCUAACUCUGCAAAGAGGACAUUGUUUGGUGGGUAGUUUGACUGGGGUGGUCGCCUCCGAAAGGGUAUCGGAGGCUUUCAAAGGUUCGCUCAGUACGCUUGGUAACCGUACGUAGAGUGCAAUAGCAUAAGCGAGCUUGACUGUGAGGCCGACAAGCCAAGCAGGUACGAAAGUAGGAUAUAGUGAUCCGGUGGUUCCGCAUGGAAGGGCCAUCGCUCAUAGGAUAAAGGUACGCUGGGAUAACAGGCUGAUCCCUCCCAAGAGCUCAUAUCGACGGGGGGGUUUGGCACCUCGAUGUCGGCUCGUCACAUCCUGGGGCUGGAGAAGGUCCCAAGGGUUCGGCUGUUCGCCGAUUAAAGUGGCACGCGAGCUGGGUUCAGAACGUCGUGAGACAGUUCGGUCCCUAUCUGUUGUGGGCGUUAGAAAAUUGAGGGGCCCUGACUCUAGUACGAGAGGACCGAGUCGGACAAACCGCUAGUGUACCUGUUGUUUCGCCAGAAGCACCGCAGGGUAGCUAUGUUUGGAUGAGAUAAGCGCUGAAAGCAUCUAAGUGCGAAACUCACCUCAAGAUAAGUUUUCUUUAUAAGGAUCGUGGUAGACUACCACGUUGAUAGGCUACAGAUGUAUAGGCAGUAAUGUCAAAGUCGAGUAGUACUAAUUGUC